CUGCAGGACAAGUUCAAGCAUCUUAAAAUGAUUCAACAGGAGGAGAUAAGGAAGCUUGAGGAAGAGAAAAAACUGGAAGGAGAAAUAAUAGAUUUAAUAAAAUGAAGGCUGCCUCUGAAGCACGGCAGACUCAGUUGAGCACCAAUACAAAGAAAGACAAAGAUC
rnacentral:lncRNA from 1 species